ACGCACGCUGGCGGCAUGCCUCACCCCUGCCAGUCGCACGCGACCUUCGGGUCUAGUGGCGCACGGGUGCGUAACGCGUGGGAUCCUGCCCUUAGGUUCGGAAUAACUCCCCGAAAGGGGUGCUAAUACCGGAUAAUGUCUUCGGACCAAAGAUUUAUCGCCUUUGGAUGGGCCCGCGUUGGAUUAGCUAGUUGGUAGGGUAAAAGCCUACCAAGGCGACGAUCCAUAGCUGGUCUGAGAGGAUGAUCAGCCACACUGGGACUGAGACACGGCCCAGACUCCUACGGGAGGCAGCAGUGGGGAAUAUUGGACAAUGGGCGAAAGCCUGAUCCAGCAAUGUCGCGUGAGUGAUGAAGGCCUUAGGGUUGUAAAGCUCUUUUACCCGGGAUGAUAAUGACAGUACCGGGAGAAUAAGCUCCGGCUAACUCCGUG
rnacentral:rRNA from 1 species